rnacentral:rRNA from 1 species
UAGGGAAUCUUCCACAAUGGGCGAAAGCCUGAUGGAGCAACGCCGCGUGUGUGAUGAAGGGUUUCGGAUCGUAAAACACUGUUGUAAGAGAAGAAUGACAUUGAGAGUAACUGUUCAAUGUGUGACGGUAUCUUACCAGAAAGGAACGGCUAAAUACGUGCCAG